rnacentral:lncRNA from 1 species
GGGUCGUCACUGCCACGGAAGUAGCAAUUACGAUUUAAGACAAGAAAGUUUUGUCCGAAGCGAAGACAUGUUGGUACAUUUAUAGAGUUCUAAACUCGAUUGUUUUCUAUAAUUAAACUCAUUUCCGGUUUCAGAUUAUACAGGUGACAAGAAGCUUCAUCCUUAAGAAGAUGUAACUUAAGCCUUCUUCAACACUUCUUCUUUGGCGGGGGUCUCAUUCUCUGACGAUCGAAUCCCUUCCUCAAUGCGCUACAACACAACCACCACGAAGAACAAGGCCACGGUUUUUUGUUUGUUUGUUGAGGUUUAAGACUUUGUAAAGCUUUAUAAACUCUUUUCUUACCUGAAGAAGAUAGUUGUGAAGCCAAUCCAGCGUCUGUGGGAAAGUGGUGGCCGAUAUAUUAACAACAGUCACUCCCUGUGAAUUGAAGGAGCAAAGGUAGUCUUCAAUUGUCUUUAGGUUUGUAAUUAGUCUCUCUUUCUCCUAGCAAACAAAACAAGACCAAACAGUGUUCACACCAACUUUCAAGAUCAGUUUAGUGAAGGGCUUGAGGGUUUUGUUUAUAUACCUUAGAUGUAUAUUUAUCUCCACAUGUACGGGAAGAGAUCCACUCCUCUAGCAAAGCCUGAGGAAGACAACAUGAUUUAACAAAAUUCAACAACUGAGAAAGAAAGACUACUUAAUGCCUCAUAAAAACUUGAAUCACCUUAUGAUCAAACUCAGCCAUCUUCAAAACAAUAGAUAUGACUAUGGGCUCAGGACCAGAUUUCGCCUUCCCACUCCCACCUGCAGGCUUCCUCUUCUCUUCGGCUUCUUUUACAGUUUCUUCUGCUCACAGAUGAAACCGAGACAUACCAUUACACACAAUCUAAUGCAGAGAAACUUCAUAGGAAGAGAGGGAGAUGAUGAGAAUACUAUAAACAAUACCAUCGAUUUUACACUGUGUAACUUUUUCAGACAGCUCUUCUUCCACAGAAGUCGUCAUGGCUUCAGCCUGAGAAUGGGGUUCUUCUUCGGUUUCUUUAGUGUUUGAAGAACUUGCCUCCUCGGGGGAGGUUACAUCUCCUGAAGAGUUUGUUUCUUUUCUACUACUCUUCUCAGGAUCAUUUGAUGGAGCUUUGUUCUCAUCAUUCAUUAAGUAUAUGCUUGGAUCUAAAUGUCUUCCCUGUAAGAUGAUAAUUCAUAACCAAGGCUUAUAAAAUAAAACAAGUUUAACAGAUGAAAUAAAAUGAUUUUCACAAAGGAUAUAUACCUCAAUGAUAAUGGGUUUCCCAUCUUUCAUUGCUUUCUUCAAAUCACCAGCAAGUCCUAAGCAAACAACAACAAAACCAUUUGUGAUAAUGUAACAAUCCACAAAACACAAAGUGGAAAAAAAACAAAAACAAAAAAGGACCUUUACGAACAAUUCUGCAUUCUCUACAGAACUCAGCUAUGAGCUCCUCUGAUGAUGCGAACUCACGAGUCCAUACAGGGGUUGAUGUCAAAGGAGCACUAAGAUUAAACCAAAAAAAAACAACAAUACAUUCAUCAUAUGUCAGACUAGAGGAUAAGAGUGUGACAGAUAGAAGUAGAAACUUACUCAGUUGCUGUACGGAGCAGCUCAUAUACCAUGUCAGUCUGUAGAAACAGAAGAGAGCACAUAAGAUUUGAAAAAGAAAACGAAUGAAGAAGAAGAGGGUAUUGAGGGAGUGAUAAAUACAUGUAAGACGUUAGGCAAGUUGAGUCUCUGAGCAAGUUGUGUGGCUAUUGUUGACUUCCCAACACAUGCUGUUCCGCAUACUAGUAUCACCAGUGGUACUCUCCGAUGAUGAAAUCUAUAUAACCCACAUACACAAAAAAUUUAAAACUUUGAAAGUAAAAAAAGUAUAUAUAUAUAUAUAUAGUUAGCACUUACUUGGUCAUCAUAUUGUAGCGAUUAACGUACUCCUUCCCGUAACCACGUCGCUCCAUAAGCUGCAAUUUUGAAUCAGAAUUAGUUUUAAAAACGUUUUUCACAAGACCAUCUAAAGAUAUGUAUGCACCAUACCAUAAACAAACUGGUUUCCAAAUCUUUCAUAUGUAUCCAAAUCAAGCUUCUUAUAUCGUGAUUCAAGUUAUAUUUAGAAAGUUAUAGUUUUGAAUUUUUUUAAAUUAUAGAAAAUAUUUUUAUUUUAAAAUUUUAUAAUAUUAAUUAAAAUUUAAUAGAUAUAUUUUAGUAUUUUAUAAUUUCAAUUUAAAUUUUUUAUUGAAUAUUUUUAUUUUUGUAUUUAUAUUGUUUUUUUUUAAAUAAGAUUUUAGGAUUCGAGUUCUAGGAUUGAUUAACACAUGCACUCAGCAACUACAUCACAAUUAGGAUUCCCUUAACCUGAAAGUAUAGCUUAUAUCUUAUUCUCUGAACUCAACCAAUCUAUUUUAUUUAUUGCGUAUCAUUAUUUACUGUCUUAACCAAUUACCUGUCUGGCUUAAUCUUAUAUUUAAUAUGUUCUAUUGUGUUCCCACGCUCUCUAUGGAUUCGAUUCCCAAGUGCUAUAUCCGAUGUCUUAUCUGAGAGAGUUGACUCUAGGGUUAAUUUGAGCUUAUCAUCAUUACCCAUUGAUAUAGAGAGGUUUUAAGCAUUUCAUGUCGUUUAUGUAACGGUUCCCCGUUUAGAAAAGAUGAUUUUGUUUACAGAGGGUUAAAAGCAUUAAAUGUUUAAUAGUUGAAGGUUUAAAAACAUAAAAUUUUAGUUGUGGUUUUUCCAUCCGAUUUGAAAAUAGUUGGAGGUUUAAAUCACUAAAAUAUCGACUGAUCAUAAGAACCUCGUGUCGUUUUCGUGAUUACAUGAAACGCUGCGUUUUGAUUUAACGGGUCUCCGUUAAGAAAAACUGGUUUUGUUAACGGAAGGUUAACAGUAUUAACGGUCUAAUAGUUGAAGGUUUAAAAACAUAAAUUUUACUCGGAGUUUUUUCAUCCGAUUUAAAAAUAGUUAGAAAUCACUAAUAACCCUUAUUAUUAUUAUUAUCUCAAACUUGUGGUUUGACAAUCUAGAUCUUGGAAUAAGAUCUUUAACUAUAUUCCAGGAGCACGAUUCAGUAUAUAGUUAUAUGAUGAAAGAAACUGUUAAUGUUUAGAUUCACAAUCAUCUGGUCCAAAAACAUGAAAAAGCCUAAGUAUGUCAAAUUGUUGGAAAAUAUAUCAUUAACAGACAACGAAUGUAUAAUUUUAAGAAGUGCUUUUAAACCUCAGCAUCAAGAUUGUAAUCACAUAUGUUUUUACACAUCAGAUCUGAUGAUUAUUUGAAUUCCAUCAUUGGUUAAAAAAAGCCACUUUCAAUCAAAAUCAAAACAAAGCGAGUUGGUUUAAUGCAUCAGAGAGAUUCCCAUUAAAGACUAAAGUCAACACAGAUUAUUUCUGAUGUCCCUGUCUGUUUAAUCUUCACUUGCAAAUAACCAUCAAGUCCACUUCACAAAGAAUAAAAAAAAAACCGUCAACCAAGGUCAGAUGAUACUCGGUAGAAAAAAAGACUUGAGCUUUAAAAAACAAAACAAAAUCCUACAGUACUCAAGAUAUAAGCAGGAUUUUGAUGAAGAAACAGGUUUAGGACAGAACAGAGACUGGAAGUUACGGUUAUGGCGAUGUUCGCUCUUGUACUUAUAAAGAAGAUUUAGGAGGAAAGGGGGAUGUAAGUAUGUGAUUUAUUUAGCUGUUAUCAAAAGGGGAUGUAGCUCAGAUGGUAGAGCGCUCGCUUAGCAUGCGAGAGGUACGGGGAUCGAUACCCCGCAUCUCCAUAUUUUUUACACAUCUUCCUUUUGAUUUUCGUAAAUGAAAUAAUGAUUAAUCACCACAGAAUUGAUUUGUUUGAAAGCAUCCCCAUAGAACCUUUAAGAAGACAUCAUAAAUAUUUGUUACUUCCACAAAGUGCAAAAUAAUCUUGGAAGCUAUAACGUGUACUAUGCAAAGAAGCAUCUGAAUCAUUCAUGUUUUCAUAAAAAAACAAAAGUUUGUUUAUCUAAGAUCGGGUCGUCACUGCCACGGAAGUAGCAAUUACGAUUUAAGACAAGAAAGUUUUGUCCGAAGCGAAGACAUGUUGGUACAUUUAUAGAGUUCUAAACUCGAUUGUUUUCUAUAAUUAAACUCAUUUCCGGUUUCAGAUUAUACAGGUGACAAGAAGCUUCAUCCUUAAGAAGAUGUAACUUAAGCCUUCUUCAACACUUCUUCUUUGGCGGGGGUCUCAUUCUCUGACGAUCGAAUCCCUUCCUCAAUGCGCUACAACACAACCACCACGAAGAAC